CCAAAAUGACUCAUAACCAUAAAAAAAUAAAACUAAGUAAUAAUAAUAAAAAUAAUAAAAGUCAACAAAAACAAGAAAAAACAAAAUUAGUCAAGUUACCAAAACAAUACUAAGAUAGCUAAAAUAACAUAGCAUUAAGAGGAAUAAAAAUAACAAACAGAAUGAAAUAAAUAAAAAUAAAAAUAAGAAAACACAUGAUAAUAAAUAUAAUAAUAAUAUAAAUAAGAAUAACAAAUAAAUAAAUAAAAAUAAAAUAAGGAAAAAGAAGGGGAAAAUGGUGGUGGACCGAUGGUGGGGUCGUGGCGUUGGAGGCGGGCGGUGACGGUCGGUAACGGGGAGAGGAGAGGGUUGGUGGUGGGAGCUGUUUCGAAGGGAGGGAGAAUGAAGGGGAAAUCGGAGCGGGUGAGGGUGUGCAUGGGGGAGAGGAGAGGACGAGGUGAAUAGGGAAGGGAAGAGGACGCAGUGAAGGAGGGGCGGGGUUUGUGCGGUAGGGUGCGACGGGGUUGGGUUAUAGUAGGAGGUUGAGCUCCAAUGAGGGGAAAAUAAGAAAAAGGGAAGAAGGGGGUUGGGGGUUGUGAGGAAGGGAGAAAUAAGGGUAAUAGGGGAAAGGGAAAAUCGCGAGGGAGUAAAGAUGAGGGAGGCAGCGACGGAGUGUGGUACGGAGGGGCAAUGACGACAGUGACUGGAAUGGGGGUCGACGUGGGUAAGGCUAGAUUGGUGGUGUGGAGGCUUUGGGGUAGGCAGAAGACAAAAACAAAAGUAAGGAAAUUAGGAAUUUUGGUUUAAAAAGGGGUACACGGACGUGUAAAGGCUCAUGUUGGG
rnacentral:lncRNA from 1 species